rnacentral:rRNA from 1 species
UACGGAGGGUGCAAGCGUUGUUCGGAAUUAUUGGGCGUAAAGCGCGUGUAGGCGGCCGUUUAAGUCCGAUGUGAAAGCCCUGGGCUCAACCCAGGAAGUGCAUUGGAAACUGGACGGCUUGAGUGCGGGAGAGGGAUGUGGAAUUCCAGGUGUAGCGGUGAAAUGCGUAGAUAUCUGGAGGAACACCGGUGGCGAAGGCGGCAUCCUGGACCGACACUGACGCUGAGGCGCGAAAGCUAGGGUAGCAAACGGG